AGUCUUAUUCUUGCGAAUUGUCCUGAUGAGGCGGAGUUGGAAAUCUCGAACUAAAUGUGUCCAUUUUUACGGCAACACUGGAGUUGUAUGCGACGAAAUGACCGCUUCAAGAAGCGCCUCGUGUGCUGCACAGCGGUCGGAGAGGGGCAUGACAAUGCCGUGAAAGGUACUAUACAAAUGCACCUCCUUGUUGCACGCUUUGGGGGCGGCGGGAAAGAUUCAAACGGUCGGCUGUUGAUGUCACUGCGCGAGUAGGCCCCGCCCUCGUGCACCACGUGACUGUCCCCCCUGCGCCUGCGCGGACAAGCGUGAGAAGAUGGCGGACAGUGCGGAACUGAAGGUAAUUUCGCAGACGGAUUGCGGCUGGAGUUCGGGCCGUUCACUGUACCCUUUCCUGUGGGAGGAUGGACGGAGAGCGGUGUGCGUAUGUGGGAGUGAGUGAGAGGGUGGAAAGAGCAGGAAGCGGCGGCCGAGGAGGAGGGAAUAGGCCGCGCUUUUCGAUCAUACCGAGAGAGAAUAAAACUGAGCUUCAAUAAAUCCGUUGCCAUUAGUCUGAAGCACUGGGCACAGACAAACAAAUGUAAUCUGCCCCCUUCAAAGAAAAUUGUAAGGAACAUGGGGAUUCUCGUAGACUGAAUAACUCCGCUAAUCCCUUGCACGAAACCACACGCACCUUUUGGAAUCGAGGUGGUCUGCUUGUGAGGUUUCGGCAAUUUCUCUGUCGUCCAUGCCCAUUCACGAAGCCUGGUUGGUGACCAGGUUUUAUCGAGGUGGAAAAGUCAGUGAACUUUGAUGGGAGAUCCUUGCAAUGUAAGUGAGACACAGUGUUUACAGGUUUUAAGUGUUUUGAAGCUUGUAUUUUAA